rnacentral:lncRNA from 1 species
AAAUAUAAGGAACUAACUAAGAAAAGACGAGUGAAUUCGAAGUAAAAAUAUAUAUAAAUAUGAUCCGAUCAGCAUCUAAUUCAACCAAUUUCGUGCAAAUCUGUUUAGUUUUAAUCUUGCUUUGUUUUACUUUAUUUUCGUCCAAAAUCAAAUUCCCUUUACUUUAGAGUGUCUAAUUAGUUAGAAUCUGUUUAGUUUGUGUUUUUAAGUGUUUUGAAUCAACAUAAAACCAAAAUUCGUCCAAAAGAGUGUUUAGAGUCCAAAUCUGCCCAGUUUGUGUAUUUAGGCAUAUUUGAGCGUUUUUAGCUUGUUUUGAGUCUUUUGAAUUUGUUUUGAGUUCUUUGAGUCUAGUUAAGUGUUUUUAAGUUUAUUUUUAUAUAUUUGAGUCAGUUUAGAGUGUUUUAGCAAUCCCUCCUAAUCCCCGGUUUAAGAAUGAUCCCUACUUAUCCGUACUACAAU